rnacentral:rRNA from 1 species
GACGAACGCUGGCGGUGUGCUUAACACAUGCAAGUCGAACGGAAAGGCCCCUUUGGGGGUCCUCGAGUGGCGACCGGUUGAGUACCACGUGAGUAACCUGCCCUUUCUUCUGGGUCAACUUCAGGAAACUGGGGCUACUACCGGUUAGGCAUCCUUGCUCCUUGGUGGGGGUUGGGAAGCUUCGGCGGGGUUGGGUGGACUCGCGGCCUAUCAGCUUGUUGGCGGGGUAGUGGCUUACCAAGGCUUCGAGGGGUAGCCGGCCAGCGAGUGCGACCGGCCACAUUGGGACUGAGAGACGGCCCAGACGCCUACGGGAGGCAGCAGGGGGGAAGAUUGCACCAUGGGCGGAAGCCGGAUGCAGCAGCGCCGCGGGCGGGAUGACGGCCUUCGGGGUGUAAACCGCUUUCAGCAGGGGCGAAGCUUGUGGUGACGGUACCUGCAGAAGAAGCACCGGCUAACUACGUG